CUACGGGAGGCAGCAGCAAGGAAUAUUGGGCAAUGGGGGCAACCCUGACCCAGCGACGCCGCGUGAGGGAUGAAGGCCUUCGGGUUGUAAACCUCUUUUCUCACUGACGAAGAUGACGGUAGGUGAGGAAGAAGCCCCGGCUAACUACGUGCCAGCAGCCGCGGUAAUACGUAGGGGGCGAGCGUUGUCCGGAAUUACUGGGCGUAAAGCGCGCGUAGGUGGCUGUCUAAGACCGGUGUGAAAUCUCCGCGCUUACCGUGGAGGGGUCGCUGGUGACUGGACGGCUUGGGUUCGGCAGAGGUGAGUGGAAUUCCCGGUGGAGCGGUGAAAUGCGUAGAGAUCGGGAGGAACACCAGUGGCGAAGGCGGCUCACUGGGCCGGGACCGACGCUGAGGCGCGAAGGCGUGGGGAGCGAACGGGAUUAGAAACCCUAGUAGUCC
rnacentral:rRNA from 1 species